AGAGCACUGUAAUGAUUUGCACAGACCAAGAUGUCUCAUGUUUUACUUUCAAACUGAAGUGAUGGGUGACAGGCUUUUACUAGCAAAAUUGUGGAGGAAAAAAUCAGGCUGUCAAACAGACAAGAUGCUAGAGUCCACAGUGCUGUGUGCUUUUUUGAUGAAAAACAGAGAUAGACAUUUUGCCAUUGAAAAUAAUGGAUUCUGAUGUAUUUCGUUUUAACGUGUAUUGUUUUAUUAUGUUGAUAUCUGCCCGUACAAGAGGCAAUGCCCGUAAAAGAGGCACUACUAUUGCUUGAGUUUGCUUUUUCAUUUAUCGAUAGUAACAACAGUCACUGUAGAAAAGUACUCCGAGAUGAAGGUUUGGUGUGUUUGUCUGUAUCAUGAGUCUUAUAGCCUCUCCUGUCUGUCCGAAUUUAUACUAUGCCGACUUGUUUGCCGGGUACACUGUCCAUACCCAAUACUAAGAGAUAAGGGUAUUCACCCGUGUGAAUGAACAAGUUCACUCACGCUGGUUUUACCUUUGCUUAUUUAGUGUACUGGGUAGACAAGUGCGGUCUAUCACAUCUCGGAGAAAUAUGAUACAUCAAGUAAGGAUCGUUGGCAAAUACAACGUGACACGUUAGGAAAAAUACAGUCAAACUGAAAAACUUUUCAUAGAAUCUUACUUUUGAGAUAUUAGAUAAGGCGGAUAGUACUUCGAAAUUUCAACACGUUGUAAAACCAAACUGAUUGCUGACUGAUCAUUUUUUCCUGAACGUCUCAUUUUGUAUUUGCUAUCGAGCCUUUAUGUCCAACUACAUGUCAUUGCAUCGAAUUGCAGUCAAACCUCUGAUACUGUAGUAUGAUGAAAAAGUAUAGCACAAUGCAUCGUCUCAAUGCGAAUAAAGCGAUAACUCUUACAUACUUGAGAAUGACAGAGUUACAUCUUUUUGAAAACCAUUACAAAAUCCUAGAGAUGCGUCUUGUCAACCUUUCGAGUAAGCUGUAAUACAAAAUCAUAAUAAGACUCGUAUCAAACUAUCAGAAUGCCAAAACAUGACCAUAAGGCUAUAUGAUAGCGAACGUUACUCAGAGAUUUGAAAUGCUUUUCGAUGCAAUAGUAUGAUGUUGGAAUUUUUUCCUAGUCCUUACAUGGUGUUGAGCAUUUUUCCUCCCUUGUUUGGAUUCUGAUCGGCAUGGGCAAAGUGUUAAUGCUGGUUAUAAUGACCCGACUCCGUAUUUGGCGAGGCAGCGAAGCCGGUAUGGGGAAUUACUUUGCCCGACGCUGCGAGAAUUCAUGGACAGGCAUUAGAUGCUUUUGCUCCGCCAAAGGGAAGCACGACGUUCCCUCUAUUGAGAUGUGCGAAUUACACUCUUUGGUUGCCUAGCUGUCCGGACGCCGCAGUUAGAUGUACGGGGAAAAGCAUCGAAUGUCUAUCCAUGAUACCGAUCCUUGUGAUUCUAGGUUUGAUCCGGCAUUGAAGUAAUGUGAAUUUUGUCCUGAUGCGUCACAGGAUAGUUAUCAUUUUCUCACUAUCCUGUUGCUAACUUUUUCCAAAUUUCGAUCAGUAGGGAAACAAAACAACAUGACGUUGGAAUUUUCUCCUAAAUUACUAAUGCAUAACACGUUGUUGAACAUCAGUGUCCAAUGUAGGGAGAAACUUCUCCUAAUUCAAAACGAUGAUACCUAAGAAAUGUCAAAGCAUUAUGUGUUUUGUAUAUACGGGACAAAUUUUCCAAAACAGUCCACCUUGAUAGUUUUAUAGUAUAUGUAGGAUUUCAUGUUCGGUCAAACAGCAUCAGUGACACUAUA